rnacentral:tRNA from 1 species
GGAGGGUUGGCUUAAUGGUUAAAAGCAUUGGCUGCUCUUCCAGAGGACCUGAGUUCAAUUCUCAGCACCA